CUACGGGCGGCUCCAGUAAGGAAUAUUGCACAAUGGGGGAAACCCUGAUGCAGCAACGCCGCGUGGACGAAGAAGGCCUUCGGGUCGUAAAGUCCUUUUCUGAGGGAAGAGGAAGGACGGUACCUCAGGAAUAAGUCUCGGCUAACUACGUGCCAGCAGCCGCGGUAAAACGUAGGAGGCGAGCGUUAUCCGGAUUCACUGGGCGUAAAGGGCAAGUAGGCGGUUGUUUAAGUUAGGUGUGACAUCUCUCGGCUUAACUGGGAGGGAGCGCUUAAAACUAGGCAACUAGAGGGCGGAAGAAGGGGGUAGAACUCCAAAUGUAGCGGUGGAAUGCUCAGAUAUUUGGAAGAAUACCAGUGGCGAAGGCGACCCCCCGGUCCGUGCCUGACGCUGAGAGGCGAAAGCUAGGGUAGCGAACGGGAUUAGAUACCCGCGUAGUC
rnacentral:rRNA from 1 species